rnacentral:rRNA from 1 species
UACGAAGGGGGCGAGCGUUGUUCGGAAUUAUUGGGCGUAAAGCGUCCGCAGGUGGCACUUCAAGUCUGUCGUCAAAGACUGGGGCUUAACCCUGGAAAGGCGGUGGAAACUGAAGCGCUAGAGUGCGGUAGAGGAGAGUGGAAUUCCCGGUGUAGCAGUGAAAUGCGUAGAUAUCUGGAGGAACACCGGUGGCGAAGGCGGCAUCCUGGACCGGUAUUGACGCUGAGGCGCGAAAGCUAGGGGAGCAAACGGG